UACUCUGGAGAGUGACAAUCAUGUAUAACUAAAUUUGAUUGACACUUCUGUGAGUAGA
rnacentral:pre_miRNA from 1 species